UACGUAGGGUGCAAGCGUUGUCCGGAAUUAUUGGGCGUAAAGAGCUCGUAGGCGGUUUGUCGCGUCGGCUGUGAAAACCUGGGGCUCAACCCCGGGCCUGCAGCCGAUACGGGCAAACUAGAAUUCGGUAGGGGAGACUGGAAUUCCUGGUGUAGCGGUGAAAUGCGCAGAUAUCAGGAGGAACACCGGUGGCGAAGGCGGCGAUCUGGGUAGAUACUGACGCUGAGGUGCGAAAGCGUGGGGAGCAAACAGG
rnacentral:rRNA from 1 species